GAUGAACGCUGGCGGCGUGCCUAAUACAUGCAAGUCGAGCGAACGGACGAGAAGCUUGCUUUUCUAAUGUUAGCGGCGGACGGGUGAGUAACACGUGGAUAACCUACCUAUAAGACUGGGAUAACUUCGGGAAACCGGAGCUAAUACCGGAUAAUAUUUUGAACCGCAUGGUUCAAAAGUGAAAGACGGUCUUGCUGUCACUUAUAGAUGGAUCCGCGCUGCAUUAGCUAGUUGGUAAGGUAACGGCUUGCCAAGGCAACGAUGCAUAGCCGACCUGAGAGGGUGAUCGGCCACACUGGAACUGAGACACGGUCCAGACUCCUACGGGAGGCAGCAGUAGGGAAUCUUCCGCAAUGGGCGAAAGCCUGACGGAGCAACGCCGCGUGAGUGAUGAAGGUCUUCGGAUCGUAAAACUCUGUUAUUAGGGAAGAACAUAUGUGUAAGUAACUGUGCACAUCUUGACGGUACCUAAUCAGAAAGCCACGGCUAACUACGUG
rnacentral:rRNA from 1 species